rnacentral:rRNA from 1 species
AGCAGCCGCGGUAAUUCCAGCUCCAAUAGCGUAUAUUAAAGUUGUUGCAGUUAAAAAGCUCGUAGUUGAAUUUCGGGGUUCUACCGUUGGUCGGGCUAUUGUCUGUACUGGCGUGUAGAAUUUCUACCUUCUGGGGAACUAUCAUGUUAUUAAUUUAGCGUGGUAGGAAACCAGAACCUUUACCUUGAAAAAAUUAGAGUGUUCAAAGCAGGCUUAUGUCUGAAUACAUUAGCAUGGAAUAAUAAAAUAGGACGGUGGUCCUGUUUUGUUGGUUUCUGAAUCACCGUAAUGAUUAAUAGGGAUAGUUGGGGGCAUUAGUAUUCAAUUGUCAGAGGUGAAAUUCUUGGAUUUAUUGAAGACUAACUACUGCGAAAGCAUUUGCCAAGGAUGUUUCAUUAAUCAAGAACGAAAGUUAGGGGAUCGAAGACGAUCAGAUACCGUCGUAGUCUUAACCAUAAACUAUGCCGACUAGGGAUCGGAUGAUGUUAAUUUUUUAAUGUACUCAUUCGGCGCCUUAACG